GGAUUGGGAGUGUUCUACGGAACCCGUUUGGUGAAUCUAGUGCCGAGAAAAGCCUUCUAUGUGUUGAAUUUCUAGUACCCGUACCCCAAACCGACACAGGUGGGUGGGUAGAGCAUACCUAGGGGCGCGUGAUAACUCUCUCUAAGGAACUCGGCAAAAUGGCCCUGUAACUUCGGGAUAAGGGGUGCCUGCGUGAGCAGGCCGCAGUGAAAUGGCUCUGGCGACUGUUUACCAAAAACACAGGUCUCUGCUAAGUCGUAAGACGAUGUAUAGGGGCUGACUCCUGCCCAGUGCCGGAAGGUUAAGGAAGUUGGUUAGCGCAAGCGAAGCUGGCGACCGAAGCCCCGGUGAACGGCGGCCGUAACUAUAACGGUCCUAAGGUAGCGAAAUUCCUUGUCGGGUAAGUUCCAACCCGCACGAAAGGAGUAACGAUCAGAGCGCUGUCUCGGAGAGAGACACGGCGAAAUAGGAUUGUCCGUGAAGAUACGGACUACCUGCACCCGGACAGAAAGACCCUAUGAAGCUUUACUGUAACUUGGAAUUGUGUUCGGACUUUGUCUGCGCAGAAUAGGUGGGAGGCUAUGAAACGUUCCUCGCGGGGAACUGGAGCCAUCGUUGAGAUACCACUCUGGCAGAGUCUGGAUUCUAACCUACGGGGACAGUUCCAGGUGGGCAGUUUGACUGGGGCGGUCGCCUCCUAAAAUGUAACGGAGGCGCGCAAAGGUUCCCUCAGGCUGGUUGGAAAUCAGCCAUAGAGUGUAAAAGCAUAAGGGAGCUUGACUGUGAGACCUACAAGUCGAGCAGGGACGAAAGUCGGCUUUAGUGAUCCGACGGCACUGAGUGGAAGGGCCGUCGCUCAACGGAUAAAAGUUACUCUAAGGAUAACAGGCUGAUCUCCCCCAAGAGUUCACAUCGACGGGGAGGUUUGGCACCUCGAUGUCGGCUCGUCGCAACCUGGGGCGGUAGUACGUCCCAAGGGUUGGGCUGUUCGCCCAUUAAAGCGGCACGUGAGCUGGGUUCAGAACGUCGUGAGACAGUUCGGUCCAUAUCCGGUGUAGGCGUAGGAGCAUUGAAAGGAUCUCUCCUUAGUACGAGAGGACCGGGAGGGACGUACCUCUGGUGUACCUGUUAUCGUGCCAACGGUAAACGCAGGGUAGCCAUGUACGGAGUGGAUAACCGCUGAAAGCAUCUAAGUGGGAAGCCCACCUUAAGAUGAGUGCUCCCUUGAGGCCACGGGAAGACGACCCGUUUGAUAGGCGCUAGGUGGAAGUGCAGUAAUGCAUGCAGCCGAGGCGUACUAAUAGGCCGAUGGCUUGUCC
rnacentral:rRNA from 1 species